rnacentral:rRNA from 1 species
UACGGGGGGGGUAAGCGUUGUUCGGAAUUACUGGGCGUAAAGGGCUCGUAGGCGGCCAACUAAGUCAUACGUGAAAUCCCUCAGCUUAACUGGGGAACUGCGUGUGAUACUGGAUGGCUUGGAUUUGGGAGAGGGAUGCGGAAUUCCAGGUGUAGCGGUGAAAUGCGUAGAUAUCUGGAGGAACACCGGUGGCGAAGGCGGGGUCUCUGGGCCCGAUACUGACGCUGAGGAGCGAAAGCGUGGGGAGCGAACAGG